rnacentral:rRNA from 1 species
CAGCCGCCACGGGAACACGUAGGGUGCAAGCGUUAAUCGGAAUUACUGGGCGUAAAGCGUGCGCAGGCGGUUAGAUAAGCCAGAUGUGAAAUCCCCGAGCUCAACUUGGGAACUGCGUUUGGAACUGUUUAACUAGAGUGCGUCAGAGGGGGGUGGAAUUCCGCGUGUAGCAGUGAAAUGCGUAGAGAUGCGGAGGAACACCGAUGGCGAAGGCAGCCCCCUGGGAUGACACUGACGCUCAUGCACGAAAGCGUGGGGAGCAAACAGGAUUAGAGACCCCUGUAGUCCCUGUCUCUUAUAC